rnacentral:rRNA from 1 species
UACGUAGGGGGCAAGCGUUGUCCGGAAUCAUUGGGCGUAAAGAGCGCGUAGGCGGCCCUGUAAGUCCGCUGUGAAAGUCAAGGGCUCAACCCUUGAAUGCCGGUGGAUACUGCAGGGCUAGAGUCCGGAAGAGGCGAGUGGAAUUCCUGGUGUAGCGGUGAAAUGCGCAGAUAUCAGGAGGAACACCGAUGGCGAAGGCAGCUCGCUGGGGGGUUAUCUGACGCUGAGGCACGAAAGCGCGGGGAGCAAACAGG